CCGUGACUCCAGAUGCCCGAGUGCCCUGCAGCUCCGAGAGCGCAAAAACGAGAGGAUGCCCCGCGCCCCGGUGCCUUUCAGGCGUGUCAUUUACAGACAUAAAACUUAAGGAGCGACGUACACCGGUGCCUCCGAACCCCGCUCCGAGCUCGUACACCCACACCCGGCAAAGCCCGCCCCACAAGCCCGCUGCCCACACGCCUGGGCCCGGCCCGGCGCCCCGGCUUGACCCCGCCGGGACGGAGGGGCCCCGGCCGUCCGCUGCGGAGAGGGCCAGGAGCCGGUCCCGGCCCUUGAGCGGGGGUGCCCGGGAGCAGCGGCGGCGGAGCGCGGCCGGGGAGCGGCGCGGGCGCUGCGGGCGGCAGGGGGAGCUGCGGGGCGGGCGCGGCAGCCGCGGUUACCUUCGGGGUUGGCGCUGAUGAAGACGCGGACGCUCCUGCCGCUCGGCACCAGGUCUUGUGGGCAUGUGUAUGAAUGAAGGAAACCUAAACAAAAUAUUCCUGCUGAUCUUCAUUGCCUCCUAUUUACAUUAGGAAAAGAAGAAUUCCUUUGAUAGCUGAAACAGAAACAUCACAGAUGAAGCCUUGAAAGAGCAGAAGAGUUGGCACAGAUAAUCCAGAUGCAGUGACUGUAAGAAUAACACAGCCAUGUGGG